UCUACUCUUCCUCCAAAACACAACAGCCCCCUACCGACCCUGGGUGCCUUUGUAACUUAGUAGCCUCUCACAGGCAAGACUGAGUGCAAAGGUGAAAUGGUAUUGUGGCAUUGUUUACUUUGAACACAGAUCUGUUGCUUGCUUAAGAUCGAAGGCCGCCACCAAAAGACCAUUACUGCAUGAUAAUGACAUACACUACCCGACCUCGUAAAGUUACAUUGUGCGGUUAUAGCUGAUAGAGGGCCGCAAAGUGGAUGCAGAAGUGGCGUUCACCCUGUUACGAGUUGAUGAACCGCUGAAAUGAUUUUGGAAACAAUAUUUUAAGUGCACAGACUUACUACUUCCAACGGACGCCUCUGCUUCGGCUCUUGCCGUGUUCGACUCGGCGAAGAAGCGGGGAAUCCCAGCAGUCCCUACGCGGCCACUAGUUUUUUAAGCAAAGAUUUGCUAAGAUCAGGUGGCUUUUCAGCACUGCAUUGAUGAUUGAUCGGUCUGAUUCUUUGAAGCGCAGCCGUUAUUCUUACUUCUUUCAAAAGCUUUAUUCUCCACUGCCAAAAAACCAAAGAGUACAGUUGAGACCCUGGAGACAUCAUCCGAGAUGUACGUUUUUUCUCUCCUCCGGCAGCCCACCCAGAAGAGCACUGCCUCCGAUAUUUAAUAAAGUACACAGUUCUCUUCUUGGUAGGUUUAUCGGAUCAGUGCCAAGUUACAUAUACCAUCCCAAAGACACCCCACCGACACACACACACACACACGUACCGCACUCGCAGACACGCUCACACGCACACAUUCCCUUCUGCACCAAUCCUAAUUAGCGUGAUCCAAUUGGAAAUCAGAGUGAAGAGUUAAACAGAAAUGUUCCAAUGUGCAGUUAAUUUAGACAGCCAUCACACUCUUUUUCAUAACAAAGACAAUCUAAUGUUUUCCAGACAGCCUGGAAAGAGCGAAGGCCUGCAACGGCUCCAUCAGCACGUUAGAUAAUGUCUUGGCAGCGCGGCGUGGAUUUCUGAAACAUAAAUAAAAUUAUUAAAGAGCCAUGUUGGCGCUGGCGCUAGCGUGUCCCACGGCGCCUCCUGCUGGAUUGACACGUACCAUAAGCGAUGGAUACGUCGAAUUUGUGUUACUGCCCAGGAAAAGAAACGGAGAGCACUAAAGGACAAGAAGCAAAUAAUCCAGAGGAAAACUGUGCGUAUUUGCGCAUGUGUGUGCGUCUGCGUGUGUGUAGGCAAGGGUGGUGGGGGUUUCGGGGUGAGGGGAGGAGGCAAUAUGGCCUACAUCAAUCCUGUCCUGAAUUACUGUCAUUAUUGUAAUGACUUCGUAAUGUUUGCUUUCCGGGGCCAAUAAUUGUUACCAAACCUGGUGUUCAAAGCGCAGGUGGACAGCCUGCUCCAGCUCCAGCAGAAUCGAGGCAGGGUGGGGGCACUACUUUCAGUGAUAGUGAGGUUGGGGCUUCAUUAGCGAGA